rnacentral:rRNA from 1 species
GAUGAACGCUGGCGGCGUGCCUAAUACAUGCAAGUCGAGCGAACAGACGAGGAGCUUGCUCCUCUGACGUUAGCGGCGGACGGGUGAGUAACACGUGGAUAACCUACCUAUAAGACUGGGAUAACUUCGGGAAACCGGAGCUAAUACCGGAUAAUAUAUUGAACCGCAUGGUUCAAUAGUGAAAGACGGUUUUGCUGUCACUUAUAGAUGGAUCCGCGCCGCAUUAGCUAGUUGGUAAGGUAACGGCUUACCAAGGCGACGAUGCGUAGCCGACCUGAGAGGGUGAUCGGCCACACUGGAGCUGAGACACGGUCCAGACUCCUACGGGAGGCAGCAGUAGGGAAUCUUCCGCAAUGGGCGAAAGCCUGACGGAGCAACGCCGCGUGAGUGAUGAAGGUCUUCGGAUCGUAAAACUCUGUUAUUAGGGAAGAACAAAUGUGUAAGUAACUAUGCACGUCUUGACGGUACCUAAGCAGAAAGCCACGGCUAACUACGU